CUAUUACAUGACAUUCACUUGCUGCCAUUUUGACACUUUGAAGGUCUUUGAAUUGUGCUGACUUAACAUGUAGACAAGGUCCAUUCAUGUGAGUGCUUACUGCUUACACAUUACUAUUCCACUGUAUAUAAAUGUAAAACGAAAUUAUAACCUUCCCUAAGCCCUUCAAAUACAUUUCAAACACUCAUUAAUAAUUCAUAAGCUUAUUGACAAAUCAUGUCAACCAUAAUAUGUCACGUGCAGUGGCUUUAAACCUGAUAAAAC
rnacentral:lncRNA from 1 species